UACGUAGGGUGCGAGCGUUAAUCGGAAUUACUGGGCGUAAAGCGCACGUAGGCGGCUUUGUAAGUUAGAGGUGAAAGCCCGGGGCUCAACUCCGGAACUGCCUUUAAGACUGCAUCGCUAGAAUUGUGGAGAGGUAAGUGGAAUUCCGAGUGUAGAGGUGAAAUUCGUAGAUAUUCGGAAGAACACCAGUGGCGAAGGCGACUUACUGGACAGAUAUUGACGCUGAGGUGCGAAAGCGUGGGGAGCAAACAGG
rnacentral:rRNA from 1 species